ensembl:lncRNA
GGAAGACACAACGCCAAAACACGGUCCCUGUAACUGACAAGUCUUUAUUAUUAGUCAUAUUAUAGACAUGGGGUUUCUCUCUGUACAUCGUAUCAAUCAGCCUCCCAAAGCAAUGUGCAUAUUAGGUUUACAGGUCAGGCCAAUAUUCUACUCUGCAUCUCAAGGUGUGAGGCUUCUAGCUGAUACAAUUCUCAGUGAUAGAACGUCUCUAUAGAAGUAAAGGAGAGAAUUCUAGAAUUCUCAGUGAUAGAACGUCUCUAUAGAAGUAAAGGAGAGAAUUCUCAAAGUCUCAGUGAUAGAACGUCUCUAUAGAAGUAAAGGAGAGAAUUCUCACUGAUAGAAUUCUAGAACUCUCAGUGAUAGAACUCUAGAACGCUCAGCGAUAGAACGUCUCUAUAGAAGUAAAGGAGAGACUUCUAGCUGAUAGAACUCUAGAACUCUCAGUGAUAGAACUCUAGAACGCUCAGCGAUAGAACGUCUCUAUAGAAGUAAAGGAGAGACUUCUAGCUGAUAGAACUCUAGAACUCUCAGUGAUAGAACUCUAGAACGCUCAGCGAUAGAACGUCUCUAUAGAAGCAGCAGUAAAUCUAACCUCCUGCCUAUAGCUGUCCCCUGUGGCUGGUUGGUUGGCUAGUAGGUAGAAAAGGUGAUGGCACACAUGUUUUUUAGGAAUACCGUGACCCCCUGGCUGCGCUGUGGCACCGUAGUUCCUACGGAGGGCAAUCACUGUCUAUGAGUCCCUGGUCAUCAGUAGUGCAGUAACAUAGGAGACAGGUCUGGAACACUGCCCAGGUCUCCACUGUGGACUGGCCUUUAGAUAUAAACAAACCAACCCCGAAUGAUCAUGGAAGGCUGGAUAACACUAUUGCAUAGUCUCUUUGAGCACCCUACUCCCCCAUUACCC